GGCGGCGUGCUAUACAUGCAAGUCGAGCGAGGCCUUCGGGCCUAGCGGCGGACGGGUGAGUAACACGUGGGUAACCUGCCUGUAAGACUGGGAUAACUUCGGGAAACCGAAGCUAAUACCGGAUAAUAUUUUUGGUUGCAUGACCGAAAAUUGAAAGGUGGCUUUUAGCUAUCACUUACAGAUGGACCCGCGGCGCAUUAGCUAGUUGGUGAGGUAACGGCUCACCAAGGCAACGAUGCGUAGCCGACCUGAGAGGGUGAUCGGCCACACUGGGACUGAGACACGGCCCAGACUCCUACGGGAGGCAGCAGUAGGGAAUCUUCCGCAAUGGACGAAAGUCUGACGGAGCAACGCCGCGUGAGUGAAGAAGGUUUUCGGAUCGUAAAACUCUGUUGUUAGGGAAGAACAAGUGCCGUUUGAAUAAGGCGGCACCUUGACGGUACCUAACCAGAAAGCCACGGCUAACUACGUGCCAGCAGCCGCGGUAAUACGUAGGUGGGCAAGCGUUGUCCGGAAUUAUUGGGCGUAAAGCGCGCGCAGGUGGUUCCUUAAGUCUGAUGUGAAAGCCCACGGCUCAACCGUGGAGGGUCAUUGGAAAACUGGGGAACUUGAGUGCAGAAGAGGAAAGU
rnacentral:rRNA from 1 species